GAUGAACGCUGGCGGCGUGCCUAAUACAUGCCAGUCGAGCGAACGGACGAGAAGCUUGCUUCUCUGAUGUUAGCGGCGGACGGGUGAGUAACACGUGGAUAACCUACCUAUAAGACUGGGAUAACUUCGGGAAACCGGAGCUAAUACCGGAUGAUCUUUUGAACCGCAUGGUUCAAAAGUGAAAGACGGUCUUGCUGUCACUUAUAGAUGGAUCCGCGCUGCAUUCGCUAGUUGGUAAGGUAACGGCUUACCAAGGCAACGAUGCAUAGCCGACCUGAGAGGGUGAUCGGCCACACUGGAACUGAGACACGGUCCAGACUCCUACGGGAGGCAGCAGUAGGGAAUCUUCCGCAAUGGGCGAAAGCCUGACGGAGCAACGCCGCGGGAGUGAUGAAGGUCUUCGGAUCGUAAAACGCUGUUAUUAGGGAAGAACAUAUGUGUAAGUAACUGUGCACAUCUUGACGGUACCUAAUCAGAAAGCCACGGCUAACUACGUG
rnacentral:rRNA from 1 species